UCACCGUGGCAAGGCCGGCAGGACGCGCAAUGCUGCCUGUCCUGCUGAUCCUCUCAGGCCUGGGCCGGCUGACCUCCGCCAGCCAUCAUCCUGAAACAUCACUUCUACAAAUUACAGUGCCAUGGAAGACUGGGGCAAACACUGAUGAUGGCAAAGUUUCUUAAAUGUAUGCAAAUAAGAAAUCAUUCUUUGUA